ensembl:lncRNA
AUGUUACUGUCACACAGCCGACUGGGUCUCACUGCACACGUAGAUGUUACUGGGUCUCACCCUCCUGUGGCUCCGGCCCGGCACCCUGGGACACAGCCUACAGCUCUUGGGCAUGAACUCCAGACAGGCCUCCCGGAACUUCCUGAUCCUCCAGCAGUAGAUGACUGGGUUAAACACGGUCUUCAGAUAGCUGAGCCACAGAGCCCCCACACUGACCGGAUAGAAGGCAGGGCUGAAGUAGAACCUCCGGCUGAACACAGCCAGCAAACUGACCACUGUGUGGGGCAGCCAGCACACAGAGAAGCCGAUGAAGAGGAUGAGGAUGGUGGUGAAGGCCCGCGUCUUGAAGCUCAUGUCCACAUUGACCUGCGGGGGACGUUGCAGGCCAGUCAGUCCCAGCUUGCUGACCUGGUUGAGGACCGGGAGGCUGGCCUGGUCGGAGGUGUGGUUGUGGAUGCGCAGGGCGUUGCGUCGGACCGUGUUAAGGAUGCACAGGUAGGAGUAGAGCAUGAUGCCGAACGGCACAAAGAAUACAGCCACUGCCAGCAGCACCGUGUAGCAGCGGUCGGCCAGCGACUCACUGUAGCCCAGCACGCACUGUGGUGCCCAGGCCCCCCCAAUGCCCGUCACACCCGCCGCGCCCGCCCGCCAGCCGAUCACAGAUGGGAGCGCCACGCAGAGGGACAGCGCCCAGGAAGCGCCGAUGAGCAGCUUGGCACGGUGUGGCGUCAGCUUGUCCUGCCGCUGAACGAUAAUGAGGAAACGGUCUACGCUGAUGAUGAGGAGGAUGGACACGCCCUCCAGGACAAAGAGCCAAUAGAGCAUGACAGAAGCACGGCAGAACCCGCCCCCGAAGCGCCAGUCGGCGGUAGCCACGGUGACGGCGGUGAAGGGCAUGCAGAGCAACGAGAGCAUGAUGUCAGAGAACGCCAGCGUAGCGAGGAGCAGGUUGAUGGCAGAACGCAUGGCGGGCUUCUGGUAGACGAUCAGACACACGAUGGCGUUGCCCAGGAAACCGAUGGCGAUCAUGAAGAUCAUGAUAGCGGCCAGCGUCACACGCAGGGUGACAGGCAUGAGGGGACUAGUAGUCCCAACCCCUGGCGGCGGAGGCGGGGGUGGUGA